GCUCAGGACGAACGCUGGCGGCGUGCCUAAUACAUGCAAGUCGAGCGGACAGAAGGGAGCUUGCUCCCGGAUGUUAGCGGCGGACGGGUGAGUAACACGUGGGUAACCUGCCUGUAAGACUGGGAUAACUCCGGGAAACCGGAGCUAAUACCGGAUAGUUCCUUGAACCGCAUGGUUCAAGGAUGAAAGACGGUUUCGGCUGUCACUUACAGAUGGACCCGCGGCGCAUUAGCUAGUUGGUGAGGUAACGGCUCACCAAGGCGACGAUGCGUAGCCGACCUGAGAGGGUGAUCGGCCACACUGGGACUGAGACACGGCCCAGACUCCUACGGGAGGCAGCAGUAGGGAAUCUUCCGCAAUGGACGAAAGUCUGACGGAGCAACGCCGCGUGAGUGAUGAAGGUUUUCGGAUCGUAAAGCUCUGUUGUUAGGGAAGAACAAGUGCAAGAGUAACUGCUUGCACCUUGACGGUACCUAACCAGAAAGCCACGGCUAACUACGUGCCAGCAGCCGCGGUAAUACGUAGGUGGCAAGCGUUGUCCGGAAUUAUUGGGCGUAAAGGGCUCGCAGGCGGUUUCUUAAGUCUGAUGUGAAAGCCCCCGGCUCAACCGGGGAGGGUCAUUGGAAACUGGGAAACUUGAGUGCAGAAGAGGAGAGUGGAAUUCCACGUGUAGCGGUGAAAUGCGUAGAGAUGUGGAGGAACACCAGUGGCGAAGGCGACUCUCUGGUCUGUAACUGACGCUGAGGAGCGAAAGCGUGGGGAGCGAACAGGAUUAGAUACCCUGGUAGUCCACGCCGUAAACGAUGAGUGCUAAGUGUUAGGGGGUUUCCGCCCCUUAGUGCUGCAGCUAACGCAUUAAGCACUCCGC
rnacentral:rRNA from 1 species